UUAGUGUCCGUCAGCUGUGCGGAAAUACGAGUAUCUCCAGUGGAGUCCAUACUCGAUGGUAGGCUUGAUGGGUAUUGCAAGUGUGCUUGGACUGGUUUCUUGCGGGAGGCACCCUCAAAUAAGAAAAGUGACGCUGCUGCUCUUUUGAAAGAAAAGGACGAGAUUAUCACUCAGGUCAUGGCUGAAGGCGAAGAGCUAUCGAAAAAACAAGCUGCUCAAGAAGCUACUAUACGAAAACCGAGAGCACAG